GGGCGCUUAGCUCAGUUGGCUAGAGCGCUUCGUUUACACCGAAGAUGUCGGGGGUUCGAAUCCCUCAGCGCCCACCA
rnacentral:tRNA from 1 species